rnacentral:rRNA from 1 species
GAUGAACGCUGGCGGCGUGCCUAAUACAUGCAAGUCGAGCGAACAGACGAGGAGCUUGCUCCUCUGACGUUGCGGCGGACGGGUGAGUAACACGUGGAUAACCUACCUAUAAGACUGGGAUAACUUCGGGAAACCGGAGCUAAUACCGGAUAAUAUAUUGAACCGCAUGGUUCAAUAGUGAAAGACGGUUUUGCUGUCACUUAUAGAUGGAUCCGCGCCGCAUUAGCUAGUUGGUAAGGUAACGGCUUACCAAGGCAACGAUGCGUAGCCGACCUGAGAGGGUGAUCGGCCACACUGGAACUGAGACACGGUCCAGACUCCUACGGGAGGCAGCAGUAGGGAAUCUUCCGCAAUGGGCGAAAGCCUGACGGAGCAACGCCGCGUGAGUGAUGAAGGUCUUCGGAUCGUAAAACUCUGUUAUUAGGGAAGAACAAAUGUGUAAGUAACUAUGCACGUCUUGACGGUACCUAAUCAGAAAGCCACGGCUAACUACGUG